CUGACAGUUGAGGCUGCUCCUGCUGAACUCACAGUGUGGAGAGAGAAAAUAAAUACUUCUGGUUCUGCUAGAGGUAACAGCUCUUAGUGAUAACGGUAACAUAUAAAGAGCUACAUAUGGGAAGCCAUUUGCAGUGUACGACUUUCACCGGUGAACAAUACUGACUAUUUUUGGAUGUCGUUACCUGCUAUAUCAUCUCUCAACUACAAUAUAGACAACCAGGUAUAAC